CCAUGAAGGCACCAGGAAGUUCUG
rnacentral:misc_RNA from 1 species